rnacentral:tRNA from 1 species
GCGAAAGUAACUCAACGGUAGAGUGUAACCUUGCCAAGGUUAAGGUUGAGAGUUCGAAUCUCUUCUUUCGCUU